AGAGUUUGAUCCUGGCUCAGGACGAACGCUGGCGGCGUGCCUAAUACAUGCAAGUAGAACGCUGAAGAGAGGAGCUUGCUCUUCUUGGAUGAGUUGCGAACGGGUGAGUAACGCGUAGGUAACCUGCCUUGUAGCGGGGGAUAACUAUUGGAAACGAUAGCUAAUACCGCAUAACAAUGGAUGACACAUGUCAUUUAUUUGAAAGGGGCAAUUGCUCCACUACAAGAUGGACCUGCGUUGUAUUAGCUAGUAGGUGAGGUAAUGGCUCACCUAGGCGACGAUACAUAGCCGACCUGAGAGGGUGAUCGGCCACACUGGGACUGAGACACGGCCCAGACUCCUACGGGAGGCAGCAGUAGGGAAUCUUCGGCAAUGGGGGCAACCCUGACCGAGCAACGCCGCGUGAGUGAAGAAGGUUUUCGGAUCGUAAAGCUCUGUUGUAAGUCAAGAACGGGUGUGAGAGUGGAAAGUUCACACUGUGACGGUAGCCUACCAGAAAGGGACGGCUAACUACGUGCCAGCAGCCGCGGUAAUACGUAGGUCCCGAGCGUUGUCCGGAUUUAUUGGGCGUAAAGCGAGCGCAGGCGGUUUGAUAAGUCUGAAGUUAAAGGCUGUGGCUCAACCAUAGUUCGCUUUGGAAACUGUCAAACUUGAGUGCAGAAGGGGAGAGUGGAAUUCCAUGUGUAGCGGUGAAAUGCGUAGAUAUAUGGAGGAACACCGGUGGCGAAAGCGGCUCUCCGGUCUGUAACUGACGCUGAGGCUCGAAAGCGUGGGGAGCGAACAGGAUUAGAUACCCUGGUAGUCCACGCCGUAAACGAUGAGUGCUAGGUGUUGGAUCCUUUCCGGGAUUCAGUGCCGCAGCUAACGCAUUAAGCACUCCGCCUGGGGAGUACGACCGCAAGGUUGAAACUCAAAGGAAUUGACGGGGGCCCGCACAAGCGGUGGAGCAUGUGGUUUAAUUCGAAGCAACGCGAAGAACCUUACCAGGUCUUGACAUCCCGAUGCUAUUUCUAGAGAUAGAAAGUUACUUCGGUACAUCGGUGACAGGUGGUGCAUGGUUGUCGUCAGCUCGUGUCGUGAGAUGUUGGGUUAAGUCCCGCAACGAGCGCAACCCCUAUUGUUAGUUGCCAUCAUUCAGUUGGGCACUCUAGCGAGACUGCCGGUAAUAAACCGGAGGAAGGUGGGGAUGACGUCAAAUCAUCAUGCCCCUUAUGACCUGGGCUACACACGUGCUACAAUGGUUGGUACAACGAGUUGCGAGUCGGUGACGGCGAGCUAAUCUCUUAAAGCCAAUCUCAGUUCGGAUUGUAGGCUGCAACUCGCCUACAUGAAGUCGGAAUCGCUAGUAAUCGCGGAUCAGCACGCCGCGGUGAAUACGUUCCCGGGCCUUGUACACACCGCCCGUCACUCCACGAGAGUUUGUAACACCCGAAGUCGGUGAGGUAACCUUUUGGAGCCAGCCGCCUAAGGUGGGACAGAUGAUUGGGGUGAAGUCGUAACAAGGUA
rnacentral:rRNA from 1 species